rfam:Ovis aries breed Texel chromosome 10, whole genome shotgun sequence.
UGGCUUAGCUGGUAAAGAAUCUGCCUGCAAUGCAGGAGACCUGGGUUCGAUCCCUG